rnacentral:rRNA from 1 species
CCUACGGGGGGCAGCAGUGAGGAAUAUUGGUCAAUGGCCGGAAGGCUGAACCAGCCAAGCCGCGUGAAGGACGAAGGUGCCAAGCAUUGUAAACUUCUUUUGUCAAGGGACAAAAUCAGGCUCGAGAGCCUGACCGAGGGUACUUGAAGAAAAAGCAUCGGCUAACUCCGUGCCAGCAGCCGCGGUAAUACGGAGGAUGCGAGCGUUAUCCGGAUUUAUUGGGUUUAAAGGGUGCGUAGGCGGGCUGUUAAGUCAGCGGUAAAAGCCCGGGGCUCAACCCCGGCGAGCCGGUGUAACUGGCUGUGUGAGGAUGGCGGAGGGUAUGCGGAAUGCGGGGUGUAGCGGUGAAA